rnacentral:rRNA from 1 species
GACCUCAAAUCAGGCAGGACUACCCGCUGAACUUAAGCAUAUCAAUAAGCGGAGGAAAAGAAACUAACAAGGAUUCCCCUAGUAACUGCGAGUGAAGCGGGAACAGCUCAAAUUUCGAAUCUGGCGGUCCCAGGGACCGUCCGAGUUGUAAUCUAGAGAAGCGUCUUCCGCGCUGGACCGUGUACAAGUCUCCUG